GCGGAGUAGUUUGCUGUGAAAAACCAAACUGAAACAAGCCAAACCCCGUUUGGAAAAUAAAACAACACGGCUCGGGGAGGGUCGCGGCGAAACGCCACUCACCGGGGUUGUUGGCCUCCCCUUCGAGGAUGUGGAGCUCGGUGCAGUCUGCCAGGGAAUGCUCGAGGCAGAGCUGGAGGAAGCGAGCCUGGGUCCGGCUGACGCGUUUGAGCAGGGAGAGCAGCGCAACAGUCUGCUCGCACUCGUUCCAGCCCUUGAACCACCCGGCCAACACGCCGACCUGGUCUCGGAACAUCAUGGUGAGCCGGAGGGACAGCUCUGCGGGGAGAGAAUAAAUAACCGGGACAGCCUCCCUGCCCCCGGCGCCGCCGCCGCCACCGUGCUCGGGGCAGGGCUGUUCAAAAUAAAAAUAAAAAUAAAAAUAAUAAUAAUAAUAAUAAUAGAAAUAACGGCGAUUAAAAAUAAAAAGG